GUGAGUCAUCGAAUCUUUGAACGCACCUUGCGCUCCUUGGUAUUCCGAGGAGCAUGCCUGUUUGAGUGUCAUGAAACUCUCACCCUUCAACUUUCUUAAUAGUGGUUGCAGGCGUGGACUUGAGCGCUGCUGGUCUUUAUUGACCGGCUCGCUUGAAAUGAAUUAGCAGAUCCUUUUUGUAAUCGGUUCCACUCGACGUGAUAAGUAUUUCGCCGAGGACAUCUUAACGGAUGGCCGAGAUAAGAAAAGUCUUUUAGAUCCGCUUCUAAUUCUUAGCCUUACGCAAGUAAGCUAAACCCA
rnacentral:misc_RNA from 1 species